GUGGAUUAGAUACCCUGGUAGUCCACGCCGUAAACGAUGUCUACUAGCCGUUGGAGUCCUUGAGGCUUUAGUGGCGCAGCUAACGCACUAAGUAGACCGCCUGGGGAGUACGGUCGCAAGAUUAAAACUCAAAUGAAUUGACGGGGGCCCGCACAAGCGGUGGAGCAUGUGGUUUAAUUCGACGCAACGCGAAGAACCUUACCAGGUCUUGACAUCCAGAGAACUUUCCAGAGAUGGAUUGGUGCCUUCGGGAACUCUGAGACAGGUGCUGCAUGGCUGUCGUCAACU
rnacentral:rRNA from 1 species